CCUACGGGUGGCAGCAGUGAGGAAUAUUGGUCAAUGGGCGGAAGCCUGAACCAGCCAAGUAGCGUGCAGGAUGACGGCCCUACGGGUUGUAAACUGCUUUUAUACGGGAAUAACGCGCCUUACGUGUAGGGCUUUGCAUGUACCGUAUGAAUAAGGACCGGCUAAUUCCGUGCCAGCAGCCGCGGUAAUACGGAAGGUCCGGGCGUUAUCCGGAUUUAUUGGGUUUAAAGGGAGCGUAGGCCGCAUGUCAAGCGUGCUGUGAAAUGUCCGGGCUCAACCCGGGCAUUGCAGGGGGAACUGGCAUGUUUGAGUACGGGAGAGGCAGGCGGAAUUCGUGGUGUAGCGGUGAAAUGAUUAGAUAUGACGAAGAACCCCGAUUGCGAAGGCAGCUUGCUGAACAGCAACUGACGCUGAUGCUCGAAAGCGCGGGUAUCGAACAGGAUUAGAUACCCUUGUAGUC
rnacentral:rRNA from 1 species